GAUGAACGCUGGCGGCGUGCCUAAUACAUGCAAGUCGAGCGAACAGACGAGGAGCUUGCUCCUCUGACGUUAGCGGCGGACGGGUGAGUAACACGUGGAUAACCUACCUAUAAGACUGGGAUAACUUCGGGAAACCGGAGCUAAUACCGGAUAACAUGUUGAACCGCAUGGUACAACAGUGAAAGACGGUUUUGCUGUCACUUAUAGAUGGAUCCGCGUCGCAUUAGCUAGUUGGUAAGGUAACGGCUUACCAAGGCAACGAUGCGUAGCCGACCUGAGAGGGUGAUCGGCCACACUGGAACUGAGACACGGUCCAGACUCCUACGGGAGGCAGCAGUAGGGAAUCUUCCGCAAUGGGCGAAAGCCUGACGGAGCAACGCCGCGUGAGUGAAGAAGGUCUUCGGAUCGUAAAACUCUGUUAUUAGGGAAGAACAAAUGUGUAAGUAACUAUGCACGUCUUGACGGUACCUAAUCAGAAAGCCACGGCUAACUACGUG
rnacentral:rRNA from 1 species